rnacentral:rRNA from 1 species
AUUGAACGCUGGCGGCAGGCCUAACACAUGCAAGUCGAGCGAGCGGCGGACGGGUGAGGAAUGUAUGGGGACUGCCCGAUAGAGGGGGAUAACUACUGGAAACGGUGGCUAAUACCGCAUACUAUCGGAUAACCCAUAUGGGAUUAGCUAGUAGGUAAGGUAAUGGGUUACCUAGGCGACGAUCCCUAGCUGGUCGGAGAGGAUGAUAAGUCACACGGGGACUGAGACACGGCCCAGACUCCUACGGAGGAAGCAGUGGGGAAUAUUGCACAAUGGGCGCAAGCCUGAUGCAGCCAUGCCGCGUGUAUGAAGAAGGCCUUGGGGUUGUAAAGUACUUUCAGUCGGGAGGCGUGACCGACAGAAGAAGCACCGGCUAACUCCGUGCCAGCAGCCGCGGUAAUAC